CCUCAAACACCCCGGUGAGGAAAGCGUUAUUAUCCCUGUUUUCCAAAUGAGGACACUGAGGCUCAGGGAGCUGGGUGAUGUGUCAAAAGUUGCCCAGCUGCAGAGUGGCAAUGCUGGAAUUUGAAGCCAGGCUUUUCUGAUUCUGAAUUCCAUGUUUUCUUACUUGCCUUUUUCUUCUGCUCCAGCUUGCAGUGCCUCGGAGAGGUGGCGCUGGCUAGCCUGGGACUUCCAACAUACAGCCUACAUUGAUGGCCUGAGACUUGUGGCAAAAAAGACUUUCAAAAUCUAAUUUGCUCACAUACAUGAACACCUGCCAGGAAGGAAUUUGAGGCCUUUGUUCUAAACAUGGAAAAGCUGAGUUCAUUUGCCCCAGAGGGGGCACCUGCAGGGAAAAGGAAAAAUGGUUUUAACCCUUUCCUUGAGUCAGAAAAUGAGGCCACCAGAUUCUCCUUUCAUCCUUCAAGUAUCAGAAAGGUCUGUGCUGUGAAUUCCACAGAUGAGAUUCAUUGCAAGAUGUGAGGGCAGAGGAAAUCCAUGGAAAUGAAAUCCACAUUCAAACUGGAUGCAUGCGUUCAGCAACUGGAAGCUGAGUUCAUAUUUCAUUGCCCAACUACCCUGACCACUUGGGAAUCGCAGGUUUGGAAGGACCCACAGCCAUUCUGUGGAAAUGGAUCUGCUUUCAGGACCGAAUCUCAGACUUCUUGGGGAAGGUUUCAGUGGCUGCCUUUGCUGUGCAGACCUGGAGAUGGGUCUGAUGAUCGGACACCUGAAUUAUCUGUGUGGCUGAGUUUCAAGAAGACCUGCUGGGGUGAAAUGAAAAUGGUGCCUACUAGAAGCCCCAGUGGCUUUGCUGGUGGAGGCUAGCUUGCUCAUGUCCUCAUACAGAAGCAGAGAUGCAAGCAAGUGAGAAGGUGGAAGGACUCAGGUCUUGGGCCUUACUCUGAGAACUAUAACACCAUUCCUUCUGCUGCAUUCUCUUGUCUAAAUGACAUGGAUGAAGCUGGAAGCCAUCAUUCUCAGCAAACUAACACAAGGACAGAAAACCAAACACCGUGUGUUCUCACUCAUAGAUUUGCUCCUCCACUGGCUCUUCUUGUAGACACACGACUGCUACAGUAUCAAGGGUCUGAUGCAGACAUGACAAUGUCAAGAGGAAGAGGAGAGCCUCGCUCUUCCCAGGCUUUUGCUUUUAAGAGCAGAAAAACUUUCCCCAGAGUUCCACCAGCUCACUUCUCAUCUUACUUCUUUGGCCAGAACUGGCCCUUGUGCCCAUAUUGUCAGUCAAAUGCCGACAAAGGAAAGGGGCCACUAUGAGUGGUUUAGACUUGGAUUGGAUUUGUCCUUAUUGGAUUGUCCUUAAGUCCUUUGAAAAAGAAGUAUACAACAGAAUGAAAUCUUGACUCAGCUUUCAAGAAUAAAGAGGGUGAGAUGACUGAUGGAUGGCUAGCAAAAUCAGAUGUGGGCUCUGUCCUCAUGGAGCAUACAGUCAGAAGGGGAAGAUUUACCUAAUUACACUAACAAACUUAUAACUGUGGUCAGUGUUCUGAAGGAAAGGAAAUCCAGUUGUAUGGUAACGUAUAACAAAGAAACUGAACUAGGAUGGAGAUGGGGGUGGUAAGUGUAGUUGGGGAAGCCAGGGACAUGAUCUGUAAGAUGGCUGGCCUGGAUUCAAAUUCCACUCCACUUACUUGCUGUGUGAUUUUAGAUUAGUCGCUUCUCCUCUCUGAGCUCAACUUCAUCUAUAACAAUCUUUCCUAGGGUUGUUAAAGGAUUGAAUGAGCCACUCUAUGUAACCACUUGACACAUAUUAGGCACUUCAGUGGCUCCUUUUCCAGAUUAAAGAAGGAGAAAACGUGUAUGUUUGGAGUUAGCACAAGACAGGAUGAUUCCUCAUGUUUGUUUUGGAAAACAAGUCUUAAACUCACAGCCAUGACAGAGUCUGACAUCAUCAGACAUCAGGCGUGUUAAGAAUUGCACUCUUAAUUGAAAAUGUCCAGAGUUUGUGAUUAAUUGCAAUCCUUUUCAGAUCCUUUCCCUAAGAAUUUAAUUUUUCUCCCCACCCACCCGGAGGUCAGGCUUUUAAUGUAACAAGUACAAUCAAUCUUCCACUGAAGAUGGCCUCUCUCUAGUGCAAGCUGGAGCAGGACUCAUCUGGAUUAGAAGCCUAGACGGUUUGGAGUCACCUGGUGAGGUUUACGUGCACAGCUGGGGCCCAGCCUACCUAAUUAGGACCAGAGAGUGGUUGAGAAGGGGACCGGCGCGUAUUCUAGGCGCCCUCCUCCAGUGUCUGUUUCUAAUAAUGGCAGAAAGUAGCAGAGGCGGCGGGGUGAGCUUGGAGCGUGGUGACAUCAUCCCUCCAGCUGUUUUACACAUCUGUGACAUGGCUCAUUAGGACUCUCUUAACACCUCAUCCUUCCCUGCUCCACACAGCUCCAGUUGCAUGAGAAAAGGUGCUCUUGCAUGUGAGGGGCCCCAAGACUGGGGCUGACUUCAGGGUCAAAGAUUCGCUUGGGCACUCUACCAGUCAUCAGAAUUUUCACAGAGACACCCCCCCAACACACACACCCGCAGCAUGCGCUCCUUGAAAGUGCUAAUAGCUUCAAUAUGAGGCUGGCACUUCUGCAUGACUGUUGGUGUUCAGGGCCAGCCUAGUCUUGGGGAGUAGGCCAUCUGUAGCAGCUGCAGAAAUGUUUUUGCUUAUUUUGAGCAUUCUAAGUUUUUCCUAGCCAUGAAUAACAACAAUCGAAUAAAU
ensembl:lncRNA Novel transcript